UUGCAUUCGAGUAUUGUAUAUGUGUGUACUAUUCCUUUGUCACUUUGUAAUCAGUGUGUUGUUCGAUGUGUCGUGUCGUUAUAAUUGAAGAUGAGUUGGCUAACAGUGCUAUGGGCAUCGGCCAUGUAUGAAUGGAUGUUCUCUCUUCCUAGUCCGACAGAGCACGAGUAAGAGUGUGGUAAUAACAUCAAUGUGCUUCUAAAAUUCUCUCUUCUCCUAUAUGCCAUCUUGAGUGAGGGAAGCAAUGGUAGCACAGAAAAGUCUCUGACGCCGGUGAUGGGCUUGCAGCAGAAGCGAAAGCUUAGUGGACCCUGAAGCUUCAAACCAAGCGAUGUGUUCAAUAAGUCUUGUAUUCGCGGAAAACUGAAAACCCGAAAGAUCAGAAGAAACAAGGUAGAAUCGACUGAAGAAGGCAAGGAGAGGUGAUGAGAUGCCGAAUUCUAGCGAGAACCACGGUCAGGACAUAUUGCAGUUGGGUCUUGGCUUGAGGAGCAAACUGCCGUUUGAGCAAGGGCCAUGAACCGUGGUUUGGGAGGCAUCGCAGCUUUUGAACCAUGACCAGGUAUGGCAAAUCGCUGUCCUGGGGUCGUCGUCCAGCACCAAAACAGGCAGGUUUUGGGUUAUUUUCGGGUACGAGUAAUUUCCUAUUCGACCCAGAUCUCUUGUAACUUGUUUUUUGCAUUAACGAGGAUACAUUUUAGAGGAUUUUAAGAUAUAUUCUGGCAAUAUUUAGAAUGUUGAAUCUACAUAUAUAACAAGGGGUGAGCCUUGUAAGAACACAUUUGUGUUUGUAACGAGGCUAGAAACACGAGAGUGAUUCCUGAUCUCAAUCUAGUGAAACCUCUGUCUUGUCCAUGGAUAUUUUUCUCGACUUGAGAGUUUUAUAUCACCUA